rnacentral:lncRNA from 1 species
CUUUUUUCGCAGGAGCUGCCCUACACUUUGCACAGACCUGGGCUCUUCCCAGAUUACCUCAUCAACAUCUUUACAAGCCAACUCAGAGAGUGCAGCAACCCUGUAGAUGGACUGCUUCACCCAGUGCUGCUGGUUCUUAUGGCUGUCACUCCCAAUGGGUAGUUUUAUUGCCAAAUUCCAUCAUAAGCAGUACUACCCAUACCCUGACCAAAGAAGGAAAGGGGAAUUAACACGACCACCUGCCUACUGAAUGCCAGGCGCUGUGCUAAAUGUGAGGUCCAGUCUAAUUCCCCUCCCCAGGAAGAGGGAUGAGCCUUUGUGGCUGCCUCCAUAAAUGAAAAUGCGAUGGAAAGGAUGCUGCACGACUUAUGAGGCUAAGUCAUAAGAAGAACUAAAGCUUCUACCCAUUUCCACUUCCUUUUGGGAAACGUGUCUUGGGAGCCCUGAGCCAAUAUGUAAGAAGUCCAGCUAUGUAUAGCCACCAUGCUGCAGAAACCACACAGAGAUAAAGAUUCGUGAGGAGUCUCCCCAUUUCCAGUUCCCAGCUGCUUGAGUCCUCCCACCUCCCAGAAUGAACUGUCAGACAUGUGAGUAGAAAUGACUCCAGACCCAGCCUUCAAGCUGUUGUCCCAGCUGACACCAAGUAGAGCAAAGGAGUUGUCUCCAUCAGUCUAGCUCAUAUUGCAGAUUUGUGAGAAAAAAACAAAUGUUGCUGCGUUAAGCCAGUAAAUGCUAGGAUAAUUUGUUAUAUGACAAUGACAAGAGUAACCAGGACACCACCCUUGUGUUAUCAUUACGUUCUCCCCUUGCUUCUUGUGAUGCCCUUGCUUUUCUUCUCUACCAGUUGCUGAGAAUUAGAGGAAGACCUUUGCUCCCACCAAUGUCAACAUUUCUUUACCAGAAAACACAGAGGCAUUUAACUCAUAUUUCGAAGACUUACAGCUUCUUAUAAUGGCCCUGGUGGUUAUACUUUUUGUUCUACUGACUCUAUUUUGUUACAGUUACUCUGCCCACAAAGUGCAAGACCCUUUGUGAUUAUGUUGGGGGACAUCAAUUCAAAUGACACCGUGAUAGCAUUACUGUCAAAUCAUGCUUCCCUCUCAAUGCUGUUGAUGAAGCUGGUGUACCCCAACCCUGUUCUUACAGGUUAAGUUGCUUUUUCCCACUUGAAACAUUGUACAACAGCCAAAAGCUUAUCUGGUCAGUUUUAAUGCGUCCUGCCCCUUCCUAGGACUUAUUGCAAUGACAAACAUAUAAGAGCUGUGAAAACUCUGUGACUUACACACAGUAGGCACCUGGUGUUUUAAGUGCUCUUCCUGAAAUGCUCACUGACAAUAAAACUAUUGAACAGAUCAGGACUGAAAACAUAGCUUUGUUUUGUGCCAGCAAAGACUCUCUUCUCUCCUUUACAGGUUGACAUUGAGCCAUUAAUCAACAGUAUGUUCAACAGUAACUAGUGAGUUAUGAAUCCAACUAUGUGCCUCUAUUU